rnacentral:rRNA from 1 species
GACGAACGCUGGCGGCGUGCUUAACACAUGCAAGUCGAACGGUGAACCUCUUCGGAGGGGAUCAGUGGCGAACGGGUGAGUAACACGUGGGCAACCUGCCCCCGGCUCUGGGAUAACUCCAAGAAAUUGGGGCUAAUACCGGAUGUUCACCGCUUCUCGCAUGGGUGGUGGUGGAAAGGGUUUCCGGCUGGGGAUGGGCCCGCGGCCUAUCAGCUUGUUGGUGGGGUAGUGGCCUACCAAGGCGACGACGGGUAGCCGGCCUGAGAGGGUGACCGGCCACACUGGGACUGAGACACGGCCCAGACUCCUACGGGAGGCAGCAGUGGGGAAUAUUGCGCAAUGGGCGGAAGCCUGACGCAGCGACGCCGCGUGGGGGAUGACGGCCUUCGGGUUGUAAACCUCUUUCGGCAGUGACGAAGCGCAAGUGACGGUACCGGGAGAGGAAGCACCGGCCAACUACGUG